CAAACUAAUGAGAGUUUGAUCCUGGCUCAGAACGAACGCUGGCGGCGUGCCUAACACAUGCAAGUCGAACGGAGUUAAUCAGCAGCACCAAGCCCGCAAGCUGAGCAGCGACAAGCUGACAAGCCAGCAGGCUAACAAGCAACAGGCAGGAGAAGUCUUUAAGAAGUUUCUUUGACUGAGAGCUUGGGAGUCUGAUAGCUGGACAGCCUGUAAGCUUGCAAGCUUAGUGCUGUUGAUUAACUUAGUGGCGGACGGGUGAGUAACACGUAGGUAACCAACCCUCAAGCGGGGGACAACCCAGGGAAACUUGGGCUAAUACCGCAUAAGACCACGGCCUGGGAUGGCUGAGGUAAAAGGAG
rnacentral:rRNA from 1 species